AUCUCGGUGGUCUAGAGGUAUGAUACCAGGCUAGUGAUCUGGAGAUCGUGGGUUCGAGUCCCACCCGAGAAC
rnacentral:tRNA from 1 species